UACGUAGGGUGCGAGCGUUGUCCGGAAUUAUUGGGCGUAAAGAGCUCGUAGGCGGUGUGUCGCGUCGGCCGUGAAAACCUGCAGCUUAACUGUGGGCUUGCGGUCGAUACGGGCAUCACUGGAGUUCGGCAGGGGAGACUGGAAUUCCUGGUGUAGCGGUGAAAUGCGCAGAUAUCAGGAGGAACACCGGUGGCGAAGGCGGGUCUCUGGGCCGAUACUGACGCUGGAGACGCGAAAGCGUGGGGAGCGAACAGG
rnacentral:rRNA from 1 species